AAUGCUUUUGACAAAAGCAUUAUGAAAUGCUGAAUUUUUUAGUGAAAUGAAUAUUCUAUCAAAAGCUUAAGUUAAAGAGGCUAUGAUAAUUAGUUCACACAAAUAGUUCUUCAUACAGAUGGCACAAAAUACAAUUUUAAGGAGGUUGGUAGUUUUCAAGUAACAAUAUCAUCUGGUAGCUACACAUUAGGGAUAGAAGAUAUGUUUUUGGGCGAGGCACAUUCUUAUUUUGGUGAGCUAAAAAAUUUACUCACUGAUAUGGAUCAGUUAUUUUCUCCUGAAAAUGACAGCUACAAGAAUGAUCUUAAAAAGCUUAUUUUUUCCUUCAAAUCUUUGAUGACAGAUUGCACUGUUGCUAAUUUUAGUUUUUUUCACCAAUUUAAACAUUGGAGAGAAACAAUUUUGCCUUUUGUUGUUGAAAACUAUGAUCAGUUUUCUUUAAAUGAAAAAAUAAAAAAAAAUUUAAAUACAUCAUGUUUUUUGUGGUUUACAUGUUAUCCACAAUAUAGGGGUAUAUGCUGAAAAAGCAAUCAGGGAAUGGGAAAAAGUGGUUGAGGAGGAAGGCGGAAUUCGGUUUUGGUUUGGAGAAUGGUGGUUUUAAAAAUUCUCCAAACUCACAUACCUUUGACAUUUUGUAUGAACUUUCAAAACUUACAAGCUAUAAACAUCGUGAUCACCGUAAAAGGUUUUUAAAAAACUACAUUGUUUCAUUCCUGCAUCAUUUUUCAGGAUGAUCAUUAAUGUUGGUUAGAAACGGUAAAAAGCUGAGGAUAGAAGUUCACCUUCUUAGUUAAGUAUUGACACUAGAAUGAAUUUGCAGCGUUUAGUGCCACAGGUUAUCUGUGUUUUGUAAUUCUGAUGUUAUUGUUGUGAUGUUUUGUGUUGAUAGACAACUUGGCUUACCUUCUCGCUGGUGUCUAUCGUUAAAAAUGAUUAUUAGGUUGUUUUGUUACUUAAACUCUCUACCUCUAAUCAUUCACUAAAAGCCAAGAGAUAAGUUUUAGAAUAACAACAUUUUUUGUUUUAAUGUUGUUUUCACUUUUUUAUCUUAGAUGUUGUCAAUAGUUCACAUAAACAUCAUUUCAAAGAGUUGAGUUUCUGCUGUUACACCUGCUAUUGCUGUUGUAAGUACUCAAAGUUUUAGGAAGUUAUAUUGCUGUAAGUUAUUUUCAUUCAAAUCCAAAUUUCAACUUUAUUAAAGAAUCUUUUGUCUAGUAAAUAGGUAAUUCUGAAUGAUUUAAAUAUAUUUCAAUGCCCAUACUAACUUACUAAUUGUAAGUUAAGUAGUAGUUUUAAACAGAUAAAUUGGAUUUUACGAUCCUUUAUGCAUAUUUGCAUAGAGUUUUAUAAUAUGACCCAAAUUUUUUCUAAAAAACUAGGUAAAUAAGUAAAAACACUUCAGUCUGUAAAAUUAACAAUUCUGGAUAAUUUCGACAGAUGCAAAAAAAAUUAUGGCAUUUAAUUUUCUUAUAGUUUUGUAUUCCUAUCAAAAAUUUCAAGUCAAAUGUAAUAACAGUUGGAAAUUAUCAAAUAUUUUUAAAGUCAAAUAGGUUUGUGCAACAUAGAUUUGUCCAAUAGGUUGGUGCAACCCUUUUGUAGUAGUUUACUGACGGGUCUGUAAAUUAUGCAAUAAUUUCAAAUUGAGGUAUUUUUCAAAUUCCACGAUUCCUUUAUGAAUAUUUGCAUAUUGUAACCUUAAUUUUUGUUGUUCAUUACAUAAUUAAGUAAGUAAAAACACUUCAGUCUGUAAAAUAAAUGAUUCUGUAUGAUCUCAAUAGAUUCAAUAAAAACUGGAUCACUAUUUAAAAUUUCAAGUCAAAUGUAAUAACGUUUCAAAAAUAUCAAAUAUAUUUAAGGUCAAUAUGCCUAAUUGGUGUGUACAUCUAUUUACUAUAAUUUACUGAAUGGUCUGUAAUUUAUGCAAUAAAUUUACUGAUAGGUCUGUAAAUUAGGCAAUAGUUUUCAAAUGAUGUAUUUUUUGGAUUCCAUGAUUCCUUUAUGCAUAUUUGCAUAGUGCAACCCUAAUUUUUUUCUUCUUAACACAAAUAAGUAGAAACCUUACAAUCUGUAAAAUAAACAAUUCUGGAUAAUCCCGACAGAUUUAAUAAAAACUGGAUCACUAUUUAAAAUUUUAAGUCAAAUGUAAUAAUGGUGCAAAAAUAUCAAAAAUUAAAAAAAAAAUUACAAACUAUUUAAAGUUGAUAUGUUUAAAUUGUUUGAACAGCCCAUUUUCAGCAAUUUACUGACCGAACAGUAAUUUAUGUGAUUAUUUUACUGACCAGUCUGUAAAUUAAGCAGUUGUUUUCAAAUUAUGUAUUUUUUGGAUCCCAUGAUUCCUUUAUGCAUAUUUGCAUGGUAUAAUUAUAAUAUGACCCCAAAUUUUAUUCUCCAAAAAAAAGAAAAUAAUAUAAAAACCCUUUAGACUGUAAAAUAGAUGAUUCUGGACAAUGGCAACACAUUUUUUAAAAUAAAAUUUUGGUUUUUUAUUUUCUUGUAGUUCUUCGAUCACUAUGAAAAAUUUCAAGUCAAAUGUUCUAUCAGUUCAAAAGUUAUUCAAAAGUCAGUAUGACCUCAAAAACAUAAAUUAGUAAAAACUGUCGGUCUGGAAAAUAGAUGAUUCUAGUCAAUCCCGACAGAUUUAAAAAAAAAAUCUUUUGGAUUUUUACUUCCUUAUAGUUGGUUGGUCACUAUGAAAAAUUUCAAGUCAAAUGUAUUAUCGGUUCAAAAGUUAUUCAAAUGUCAAUAAUACUCUCAUUUUCGGUACCAUUUCGCAGGAAAUUUUCCAUACUUAAGCCCUAUACCUUUUGUCAAAAAAUCACCAGUUUUUUCACUACAAAAAGUUCAAUAACUUUUGAUCCGCUUAACUUCAAAGGUCAAAUGACCCCUCAUUUUUUAAGUCAAACUAAGCUCUAUACAAUGGCAUCAAUUAUAUUUGAAUAUUAAAUUUAUAAAAAAAUCGUGUGGACAUGCUACUUUUGUACUUAUUUAAGUGAAAUGUAAAUAUAUUUUUGUGAAAAUUAUAUUGAGAUAAAAUUAGAUACUCUGCUUUGGUCAGUUUUAUGAAUGUUUUAAUGACAAUGAUGAGGAUUCUUAAAGCUUGCUAAAGGUUAGGCAUAAGUAUUUAUUUAUUGCUCAAAAGAGUUUUUAACUUUAUCCAGAGUUGUUUGUUGCUUGGCCUUAGUUAAAUCACUCAUAUUGAGUAAUAACUUUAAGAUUUAGAGUUGACUCAAAAUGGAAAA